AAAUCGGUCCUUUUCAGGACCACUGAAUAAAAUUUAAAAAGAGGUAG
rfam:Lucilia cuprina strain LS Scaffold418, whole genome shotgun sequence.